rnacentral:rRNA from 1 species
UACGUAGGGUGCGAGCGUUGUCCGGAAUUAUUGGGCGUAAAGAGCUCGUAGGCGGUGUGACACGUCGGCCGUGAAAACCUGCAGCUUAACUGUGGGCGUGCGGUCGAUACGGGCAUCACUGGAGUUCGGCAGGGGAGACUGGAAUUCCUGGUGUAGCGGUGAAAUGCGCAGAUAUCAGGAGGAACACCGGUGGCGAAGGCGGGGCUCUGGGCCGAUACUGACGCUGAGGAGCGAAAGCGUGGGGAGCAAACAGG